rnacentral:rRNA from 1 species
AGAGUUUGAUCAUGGCUCAGGAUGAACGCUAGCUACAGGCUUAACACAUGCAAGUCGAGGGGAAACGAUAUUGGAAGCUUGCUUCCGAUAGGCGUCGACCGGCGCACGGGUGAGUAACGCGUAUCCAACCUGCCCAUCACUUGGGAAUAACCUUGCGAAAGUAAGACUAAUGCCCAAUGACAUUUAUAGAAGGCAUCGGAAAUGAAUUAAAGAUUUAUCGGCGAUGGAUGGGGAUGCGUCUGAUUAGCUAGUUGGUAAGGUAACGGCUUACCAAGGCGACGAUCAGUAGCCGGACUGAGAGGUUGAUCGGCCACAUUGGGACUGAGACACGGCCCAGACUCCUACGGGAGGCAGCAGUGGGGAAUAUUGCACAAUGGAGGAAACUCUGAUGCAGCGAUGCCGCGUGAGGGAAGAAGGUUUUAGGAUUGUAAACCUCUGUCUUCAGGGACGAAAAAAGACGGUACCUGAGGAGGAAGCUCCGGCUAACUACGUGCCAGCAGCCGCGGUAAUACGUAGGGAGCGAGCGUUGUCCGGAAUUACUGGGUGUAAAGGGAGCGUAGGCGGGAUCGCAAGUCAGAUGUGAAAACUAUGGGCUUAACCCAUAAACUGCAUUUGAAACUGUGGUUCUUGAGUGAAGUAGAGGUAAGCGGAAUUCCUAGUGUAGCGGUGAAAUGCGUAGAUAUUAGGAGGAACAUCAGUGGCGAAGGCGGCUUACUGGGCUUUAACUGACGCUGAGGCUCGAAAGCGUGGGGAGCAAACAGGAUUAGAUACCCUGGUAGUCCACGCCGUAAACGAUGAUUACUAGGUGUGGGGGGACUGACCCCUUCCGUGCCGCAGCAAACGCAAUAAGUAAUCCACCUGGGGAGUACGACCGCAAGGUUGAAACUCAAAGGAAUUGACGGGGGCCCGCACAAGCAGUGGAGUAUGUGGAUUAAUUCGAAGCAACGCGAAGAACCUUACCAGGUCUUGACAUCGUAUGCAUAGCUCAGAGAUGAGUGAAAUCUCUUCGGAGACAUAUAGACAGGUGGUGCAUGGUUGUCGUCAGCUCGUGUCGUGAGAUGUUGGGUUAAGUCCCGCAACGAGCGCAACCCUUACUGUUAGUUGCUACGCAAGAGCACUCUAGCAGGACUGCCGUUGACAAAACGGAGGAAGGUGGGGAUGACGUCAAAUCAUCAUGCCCCUUAUGACCUGGGCCUCACACGUACUACAAUGGCUGUCAACAGAGGGAAGCAAAGCCGCGAGGUGGAGCGAACCCCUAAAAGCAGUCUUAGUUCGGAUUGUAGGCUGCAACCCGCCUACAUGAAGUCGGAAUUGCUAGUAAUCGCAGAUCAGCAUGCUGCGGUGAAUACGUUCCCGGGCCCUGUACACACCGCCCGUCACGCCAUGGGAGUCGGUAACACCCGAAGCCUGUAGUCUAACCGCAAGGAGGACGCAGUCGAAGGUGGGAUUGAUGACUGGGGUGAAGUCGUAACAAGGUA